rnacentral:rRNA from 1 species
UACGGGGGGGGCAAGCGUUGUUCGGAAUUACUGGGCGUAAAGGGUUCGUAGGUGGCCAACUUAGUCAGACGUGAAAUCCCUCAGCUUAACUGGGGAACUGCGUCUGAUACUGGUCGGCUUGAGUGCAGGAGAGGAACGCGGAAUUCCAGGUGUAGCGGUGAAAUGCGUAGAUAUCUGGAGGAACACCGGUGGCGAAGGCGGCGUUCUGGACUGCAACUGACACUGAUGAGCGAAAGCCAGGGGAGCAAACGGG